rnacentral:rRNA from 1 species
UACGUAGGGAGCGAGCGUUGUCCGGAAUUACUGGGCGUAAAGGGUGCGUAGGCGGCAAGGCAAGUCAGAUGUGAAAUCCCCGGGCUUAACUCGGGGGGUGCAUUUGAAACUGCCUCGCUAGAGUCCCGGAGAGGAAGGCGGAAUUCCCGGUGUAGAGGUGAAAUUCGUAGAUAUCGGGAGGAACACCAGUGGCGAAGGCGGCCUUCUGGACGGUGACUGACGCUGAGAUGCGAAAGCGUGGGGAGCAAACAGG